rnacentral:rRNA from 1 species
GACGAACGCUGGCGGCGUGCUUAACACAUGCAAGUCGAACGAAGAGCGACGGAAGCUUGCUUCUAUCAAUCUUAGUGGCGAACGGGUGAGUAACGCGUAAUCAACCUGCCCUUCAGAGGGGGACAACAGUUGGAAACGACUGCUAAUACCGCAUACGAUCUAACCUCGGCAUCGAGGAUAGAUGAAAGGUGGCCUCUACAUGUAAGCUAUCACUGAAGGAGGGGAUUGCGUCUGAUUAGCUAGUUGGAGGGGUAACGGCCCACCAAGGCGAUGAUCAGUAGCCGGUCUGAGAGGAUGAACGGCCACAUUGGGACUGGGACACGGCCCAGACUCCUACGGGAGGCAGCAGUGGGGAAUCUUCCGCAAUGGACGAAAGUCUGACGGAGCAACGCCGCGUGAGUGAUGACGGCCUUCGGGUUGUAAAGCUCUGUUAAUCGGGACGAAAGGCCUUCUUGCGAAUAGGGAGAAGGGUUGACGGUACCGGAAUAGAAAGCCACGGCUAACUACGUG